rnacentral:lncRNA from 1 species
UUCAGAACCGCCCGUCAGCCUUGGCUCCAGCGCCUGGCGCGAGCGAACCGGGCUUGGCUGUCUCGGCCCCGUCUGAACCCUGCGGGCCGCGGGCCAGGGCGCGCCGGGAUCCGCUGCGCCAGGACCCUGCAGACCCGGCCGCGGCCGGGCCGAGUGCCUCCCGCCGGGGCCUUACGCCCACGGUCCACGCUUGCAACACCAGGGCUGUACGGCGGGUCCGCAGCUGGGUCUGCGCCUGGGACUCGGGGCUCCCUGCGCUCCUCGUGCCGCACCCCUUGCCUUAACCCCAAGCGGACGGGUCCUGGGGCUUCACCGGCCAGGCCGGAGCCCCAGCCCCACAACUCCCCCCCUCCCACCGCACUGCCCCCUCUGCGCUGUGGCGGGAGUUGGGGACUGGGGCCGGAGAAAGGAGACGCGCCGGUCCUCAAGUCUCUUGAGCCAUUUCGGUUCCGGGCGCGCCCCCCAGGGCUGCAGUCGCGCGAGGUUCCAGAUAGUGCAGCUGUGUGGCGCCAGGCUUCCAGCGGGUUCUUGGUGGGGGUUCCCUCUCUGCCAUAUUCUGCUGAUGGAGAAAUGGGAUCUCACCCAAGGAAAGUGACUUGCCAGGGUUACACCACUGUUCUGGAUGUAAGAAGUCCAAAAUGUGUCUCACUGGGCUAAAAUCAAGGUGUCAGCAGGACUGUUCCUUCUGGAGGCUCUGGGGGAGACUGUUUCCUUGACUUCUCCAGGUUUUCGAGGCCACCUGCAUUCCUUGGUCUGCGGCCCCUUCUCCAUCUUCAAAGCUAUCAGUGACCAGCCGAGUCUUUCUCACAUUGAAUCACUGCCACCUCUGCUUCUGUGGACACAUCUCCUUCUUUCCCUAACACUGUUUUCUCCCCAUCUCAAGAAUCUUAAUAUAAUUAUAUCUUUAAAGUUCCUUUUGCCUUGUAAGGUAGCCGUUUCACAGGUUCCAGGGAUUAACACCUGGACAUCUUUGAGUCGGAGGGAGCAUUUAUCAAAAAACAAAAACCCUAGGGCCUCAAACAAAACAUUUUUAAAAGAGAAAUAUAAAAGCUUCAACUCUUCUUCAAAUAAGUAACAUAGCAACUUUUUCUAUAAAUGUAACAAAUUCUGAAAAAAAAAACCAAAAAAAACAAAGAAACAAACUUUCAGUUCCUAACUACACCCAUAAAAAAUCAGACUCCCUGGUGUCAGGGAAGAAGAAACAAUGGGUGACAAUAAAUAGACUCCACAUAAAAGGGAAGGGAAAGGCUCCCUAGGUUGAGAAGUUAUGAUAUGUGCUUCACUGGGAAUGUAGGUACAGCCUUUGGAAAUGAUUAGUUGUUAACAAUUGUCCACAGCUCUUCAGCUGCUCUACUUUAUAAUCCUUUAGUGUAGUGACAUCUAAAACAUUUUUUAAAUAAAUCAAUCAACUGUAUUUUUUAGAAAAAUUUUAGUUCACAGCAAUAUUGAGCAGAAAGUAGAGUUGCUUGUCCCUUCACCCUCCUCCCACUUAAAACAUUUUUAAAGCAUUAAUAGAAUUCUUGGCUCCUUAUUUUCCCCCCAAAAGAAAUUCCUACCUAAAAAAUAAAAAUCGUGCUGCUCUGGUUCAAGUGGACUCAUGGAGUCCCUCAACCUCUGUAAAUCCUACUGCAUGGUUUAACACCUGUUUUGCAGUUACUUCUCUUGAGUGGAAUAAUGAGAAUAACUCAAGUUAGAAAGUACCCUCCGGACCACAGAAGUAGGGAGACUGUCAUGUUGGAAAUUAUUCUCCAGGCUUCAGAAGCAAGAAUUGUCAUAAUAUUCUCCCAGGAAUUAGAAAAGAGCAGGCUCUUGUUCUGACGUAGAAGCAUAGAGUCUUCUAGGCCAUAAAUCUGCUUAUUUUAGUUACAAUAGUGAAAGGGCCAGUGGGCAACACGGUAAAAAGUACAUGGGCCCAGAAAUUGGGGACUUGGAUGGGGCAGCUGGGAUGUAGGGGACAUAUUAAUUAAGACCUAGUGUGGGCCUUUCGUAUUCUGGGUCAGAUAAGUGAACAAGCAGGUGAGGUUCUGUGUGGGCUACCCUGGAAUACAGUGUUGCAUAGGGUUGUGUGAGAGGUGCGGGGAACGCCUAGAAAACUUUGCAGGGAGAAUGUUUUCUAAGCCAACACCUAGAAGACAAGCAAGAGUUUGCUGGGCAGAGAGUGAAGCUGGGCGCGGCUGGGAUCAUGGAGCCGGAUGUGCACAGCCGGGACAUGGGGAAGAGCUGCAGUGGAGAGUGGGGUAUGGUGGAGAGCAGUCAGGGCCAGACGAUGCUGGCGGGCCUGGAGGCCUUGGGAGCGCUGACUUUCUCCAAGAGCUGGGGGUGCCAGGACAGGGUCCCAAGCAGCGGCCCUACGUGGCCUGGUUUGCUCUUCACUGGCAAGCUCCAUGGCCCUGGGCAAUGUGCUGCUUCUGUUUUUCUUCUCAUCGGUGCCUGGCUGAGCUCUGGAAUCGUUUCCUGCUCUGAGCCUGAAACUUCAAGCAGUAAGAAGACGGUCCACAGCCCGGUUACUGGGGCUCUGCAAAUGCGACGUUCCCAGUGGCCCUCUCCCAGGCUCCGGGCCUCCGGGUAGAGGAACUUCUGUCUGUAAAGGAUGAAGGCGACCUUGCUCAGGCUGCAGCGGGAUGGAGAAACGUGACCCAGCGGAGGGGCUUUCGGCUGCGAGGUGCGAGAGGCGACCCGAGGGGUGAAAGCAAGGCGAGUGCGGUCAGCGCACCGGGCUGGGCGGCCUCCCAGCCGGCCGGGGAAUUCGUUCCCAGCUCCAGCCGCAUCUCACCGCCUCUAUCGCGCCUUUGGGGCCUCAGAGGGAGGCUGCAUGGCCCGGAGGCCUGAAAUCCGCCAUUUGUUCCCUCCCGGGGCGGCAGAGCCACAGCUCACUGAAGGCUGCAGCCUCGGCAGCCGGAAGCGCUGGCCGGGCGCUUGGCCAGCGACCGCCUCGGGUCGGCCUCGGGUCUGCGCAGGCGCAGGCUCGGGAAGCCGGGCGCGGUGGUGUUUCUGCGGCCCGCGGCUGCCCUCUCGUGGCCGCAAGGCGCCAUGGCACGGCCGCUUCCACGCAGCGGAGGUGCGCUGGCCGGAAGGCGGCGGGUCCGGCCAGCCAGGGAGACCAGCCAAGCGCUGUGUUUUUCCAGGUCCGCGCGGGCCAGGGGAACCCUGCGUGUUUGCUUGGUGGGAGUGGUUUACUGGGAAAGUAGACGGAAGGUACCCUGCAAAUCGGCGUGCACUGUAUUGUUUGGGAGUCAACAGCCUGGAAAGUAAAUAUCAGUCGCUUUGGAAUGUGUUUCCUCUCGUCCGGGGUUUGAAGAUUAGUCAUGAAAAACAUCACUCUGCCCUUGCUGAAGUGCAUGUUGGCUACUCGAUCAUUCCACCUGUGUGCCCCAAGACGGUCUGCUAAGGAGGGCUCCCCUCUUUUCCAUGCCCUCUCAGCUCCAGACUCCAUCCCAUCCAUCAACAUUAUCCUGUGCCCCCGAGGGAGGAGGGCGGGGGAGGGUUUCUGUGCCUGGAUUAUUGGUGAGAGGAGAGCAAGUGCAGAAAUGAAGCUAUGACUCUUGCAGAAGUCAUGCAUUCCGUUCAAGGAUAUUCCUUUCCGUAGCCUCCACACAUUCCCUCUGGCUGCAGGCCCCUGGGAUUUUUCUGUGUGACCCCGUCACAUUGCAUCUGUAUAGAUUGUCAAAGCACCUCAUGACUGUGGAGGAAGAAGUCGGGGACAGAACAUGGAUCUGGAAGGCUCACAGCAUGGAUUUGAUCUCUCCCAAAAAGGAUGCUUGUAGAAAACGAUGAUUCUGAAAUGGUACAAAUCCCUUUCCCAAAAGGCAUCUCAAAGCCAGCCGCUGCUACUGACUUAUUGAUGGCUAUCACCCAGUGGCCUUGGGGAGGCGGUGGGAAGCCCAACCACUGCCUGUAAUAAGGAGAGACAACUCAGCAUCCACCCUGCAGUGAAUAAUAGAACAAAAAGCUGCCGGCGCCUGCAGGAUCAAAGCACAUGAGCGAUCACAGUGUCUCUGGGUUAAAUAGAUCCGCGAAGGCCAGGCAGCCAGCAGAUGUCAUGGAACUUUUUGGGGGAGAAGUCUGGGUUAUGGAGGAAGCCUCAGCUGGAUUUCAGUACCUUACAAGAUGCUCUUCUGUGGCUCUCUCCUGCUAACCUUCCUUGGACAUGGAAUAAUCUUCCCUUUAUCCUCCCUCUUCACCACUGCUGUUCCCAAAGUCUAAAAAGAUGGGGGCAGGAGGUGAGACAGGAGGGGAUGGGAAAAGAAUACUGGACCAGGAGGCAGGAGACACUGGAUCUGUGAGUGAAGGCAAUGCUGAAUGACUUCCAUGGCCUCAGUCUCCCCAUCUGUAAAAUGGGAAGGUUGAUAUAUGGCCUCAACCUUUCUGCCCACUUUGAUAAACCAUAUUUCACCAAAAAGAGGCAGAGGGGAUCUGUUGCUUUUCAGAUUCCUGUCCAGUUACUUCUAGGUCAGACAGAAUGAUUGCCCCAAUGAUUCUGGGUCCGCAGACUCAGUCUGUGAAACCCCAUUUCUUGGAGGAGUUGGGAUCAGGACAGGCAAGAAGACUAUACUAUUCCUGCCUCCUAUUUGCUCCCUCUUGCCAGUGGGGAAAUCAGUGGCAACCUUAGAGUAAUCUUGGAGGGGUGGGGGGAUGAGUUAUUAUUGGGAUUUUUAUCUGCAAAGAAUAUUUUCAGAUGUUGUUUGUGCAUUUAAAUGUACAUGCAGUUCUAGAGGAGAAGACUCUAGUGGUUGCGGUGCUGUGAGGCAUUUUGCAUAUAUUUAUCUCACUCAAGAAGAACUGUGGGGUCCUUGUGAAAGUAAGUGUGUAUGUGUGUGUGUGUGUGUGUGCGCAUGUCCUGAGUCAGCCUGAGUCCUGAGCCUUUUGUCUUUGCUCCUGAGUAAGCCACUGGGGGAGGUAAAUAUAUAAUUGGAGGAAGAAAUGUGUCAGAAAAUAACUUCUUUACUUGUGGAAAGUCAUUGAAAACCCUUGGUUUUGCGUAUGAGCACAGCACCCUGUAGGCAGGUGAGGAGUCUUAGAACACGGCGGGGAGCGAACCAGACACGUACUAAAGAAACCUCCAUGUUUGAUAUAAACCCAAUGCACAGGUCCACACAGACAGGGCAUGGAGGUGUGCUCCACAGGGCCACCACACGGACCUCUGUGAUGGCAAGCCCGGAUGCAUGUACAACUAAACAUCCUCACAGAUACACUUUAAUGUAGGUGGAGACCUGGUGUUAUGGGUUAGACUAUGUCCCCCCACAAAAUAUAUGCUCAAGUCUCAUCUGCCAUCUACAUUAUUUGGAAAUAGGGUCUUUGCAGAUGUAAACUGGUUAAGAUAAUAAAAAAAAAAAUAAAUAAAUAAAGGUAAUGGCAACAAUGAAAAAAAAAAGUAAGUCAUCCUGGGAUAGGGUGGGAGAGCCCUAAUUCAAUGUGACUGGUGUCCUCGAAAGAAGAGGGGAAUUUGGACACAGAGACACAGCUGAACUUACUGAGCAGAGCCUCCCAGAUGCUGCAAACUCAAGGAGGCCUCUGUGCUCAUAUCUUUAUUCUCUCUCUCUCUCUCUCUCUCUCUGUCUCUGGUACAGCGUUUAUGCUUUUUGGCAGUUCUUUCCUCUUCAUUCCCCCAUCUCUCCAAUUACACAUUCAUAUACACAUAAACACUCCGAUACCCUCAAACUACCAGAAGCCACGUCAGAGACUUGAGAACUUUGGACCAGGAACUGAUGGAGACAAAGAUGACCUAGGAAGAUGGCUACAUUGGGAAUGGAGGCAGAGAUUGGAGUUAUGUGGCCACAAGGGAAGGAACUCCUGGGGCUCCCAGAAGCUGGAAGAAACAAGGAUCCUUCCCCUAUAGGCUUUGGAGGGAGCGUGGCUCUGCAACACCUUGGUUUUGGACUUCUAGCUCCAGAAGUGUAAGAGAAUAAAUUUCUGUGAUCUCAUAUUCAGUUCAUGGUGCUAUAUCAUGGUAGCCCUAGAAACUAAGAUACACAGGUAUGUUGGAUGUAUGGGUCAGGCCCACACCCAGGGUGCAUACGGCCUUUGGUUAAAAAAAAACUCUCAUUUCUGUGGGGAAUCCAUUGCCAGUGGUCUGGAUGACAUGGCCACUGCCUCUCUUCAGGGAUGUGCACAAGACCCUGGCCUGGCCAAUCAGAAUACCUCAUGCCCAGGACCACAGUAACUGGGUCAGGGGUUGUCAAGAUUUAUAUAAAUGAUUUACAUAAAAUGUUUAAAUGUUUUGUUAAAAUAUUUAAAAUAAAAAAUGUUUCUAAGAUUUCAGUUGCCAAUUGUUUUUUGUGAGUAUAUACAAAUACAACUGAUUUUUACAUAUUGGUUUUGUAUCCUGUAUACUUGCUAAAUUCAUGCAUUAGUUGUAUUUUUCUAGAUUUCUUAGAAUUUUCUAUGUACACAAAUCACAAUGUCUGUGAAUAUACACGACAUUACUUCUUCGUUUCCAAAACUUAUGCUUUUCACUUCUUGUUCUUGCCUUGUUGCACUGGGUAGAACCUCAGUUGUAUAUUAAAUAUAUUUUUUAAAAAGGUAGACAUUUGAGCCUUGUUUCCAAUCUUGGGAAGACACUAUUCAGUCUUUUGCCCUUGUCUGCUUCUAAGCUGCCAAAGCCUGUGCUGUGGUGGGGAAAUGUCACUCUGUGGGCCAGCCAUGGUGUGAGUGUGCAGAUGGGACAGCAGCAGCAGGUGCAUUCUCCUGGGAGGCCAGGCCUGGUGGCAGGCAUCUGUAAUCCCUGCUAUUUGGGAGGCUGAAGCUGGAGGGUGGCUUGAGCCUGGGAGUUCGAGUCCAGCCUGAGCCACACAGCGAGACACUGUCUCUUAAAACAAAAAAUAAAAAACAAAACCAACAACCCCCACGCCUGCCUGCCAAAUUUUCCUGGGGAAGGCAAGACACACAAUUAAGAAAGUAAACAUUAUGUCAUCCUUGUCUGUAUCUCAGUAGCCAUAGUUGUGGAUUCCUUCAGUUCUCUCUUGGUAGAAGGUGGGGCCUGAAUAAAUGACGACAUAAAGCCAGCUGAACUUAGUGAGCAGAGCCUCCCAGAUGCUGCAAACUCAAGGAGGCCUCUGUGCUCAGAUCUUUAUUUUCUCUCUCUCUCUCUCUCUGUCUCUGGCACAGCGUUUAUGCUUUUUGGCAGUUCUUUCCUCUUCAAUCCCCCAUCUCUUCAAUUACACAUUCAUGUACACAUCAACACUCCGAUACCCUCAAACUACCAGAAGCCACAUCAGAGACUUGAGAGCUUUGGACCAGGAACUGAUGGAGACAAAGACGACCUAGGAAUGGUUGCUUGCCCUACCCUCAGGAGUUUACAAUUACUGAUAGAGACAGAAGUCUUUGCAGGAGGUGGGGGGCGGGGGGUAGGAGAAACUUUACAAACACACCUGUCAGCAUACACAGGGAUAAUAAUAGGAAAGGGGGUUUUCAUACAAGGGAAGCAUCUGGAAACUGGGAGGG